rnacentral:rRNA from 1 species
CCAACAGGGAUUGCCUCAGUAACGGCGAGUGAAGCGGCAACAGCUCAAAUUUGAAAUCUGACCCCGUCCGGGGCCCGAGUUGUAAUUUGUAGAGGGUGCUUCGGGCGUGGCCUAGGUCUAAGUUCCUUGGAACAGGGCGUCAUAGAGGGUGAGAAUCCCGUAUGUGACCGGCGAUCCAGCCCAUGUGAAGCCCCUUCGACGAGUCGAGUUGUUUGGGAAUGCAGCUCAAAAUGGGUGGUAAAUUUCAUCUAAAGCUAAAUACCGGCUAGAGACCGAUAGCGAACAAGUAGAGUGAUCGAAAGAUGAAAAGCACUUUGAAAAGAGAGUUAAACAGUACGUGAAAUUGUUGAAAGGGAAGCGCUUGCAAUCAGACCUGUCCAUGGGGGACCUCCGAUAUUCGUAUCGGUUCUACCCUCGCCCAUGAUCAGGCCAGCAUCGGUUUGGGCGGCGGGAUAAAAGCCCCUGGAAUGUAGCUUCUCUCGGGGAGUCUUAUAGCCUAGGGUGGAAUGCCGCCCGCCUGGACCGAGGACCGCGCUUCGGCUAGGAUGCUGGCGUAAUGGUUGCAAGCGACCCGUCUUGAAACACGGACCAAGGAGUCUAACAUCUAUGCGAGUGUUUGGGUGUUAAACCCGGGCGCGAAAUGAAAGUGAACGGAGGUGGGAGCCCGUCAAACGGCGCACCAUCGACCGAUCCAGAUGUCUUCGGAUGGAUUUGAGUACGAGCAUAGCUGUUGGGACCCGAAAGAUGGUGAACUAUGCCUGAAUAGGGUGAAGCCAGAGGAAACUCUGGUGGAGGCUCGCAGCGGUUCUGACGUGCAAAUCGAUCGUCGAAUUUGGGCAUAGGGGCGAAAGACUAAUCGAACCAUCUGGCGAGGCCUAGAAGCCGCCUAGAGGUUACUGGAUGGUUCUCCCGGGGCGCUCCCGCCCGGGUCAGUCCCUCAGGAUAGCAGUAACGUUUUCAGUUUUAUGAGGUAAAGCGAAUGAUUAGAGGCCUUGGGGCUGAAACAGCCUUAACCUAUUCUCAAACUUUAAAUAUGUAAGAAGUCCUUGUUACUUAGUUGAACGUGGACAUUUGAAUGCACCGUUACUAGUGGGCCAAGUAGCUGGUUCCUGUCGAAGUUUCCCUCAGGAUAGCAGUAACGUUUUCAGUUUUAUGAGGUAAAGCGAAUGAUUAGAGGCCUUGGGGCUGAAACAGCCUUAACCUAUUCUCAAACUUUAAAUAUGUAAGAAGUCCUUGUUACUUAGUUGAACGUGGACAUUUGAAUGCACCGUUACUAGUGGGCCAUUUUUGGUAAGCAGAACUGGCGAUGCGGGAUGAACCGAACGCGAGGUUAAGGUGCCGGAAUGCACGCUCAUCAGACACCA